GAAAUGCGAUAAGUAAUGUGAAUUGCAGAAUUCAGUGAAUCAUCGAAUCUUUGAACGCACAUUGCGCCCGCCAGCACUCUGGCGGGCAUGCCUGUUCGAGCGUCAUUUCAACCCUCAGAACCCCUUGCGGGUUCUGGCGUUGGGGAUUGGCAUCCAGCCAGCCCCGAAAUCUAGUGGCGGUCCCUCCGCGACCUCCCCUGUGCAGUAGCGAUACCUCGCAGCGGGACAGCGGUCUGACCACGCCGUAAAACCCCCAACUUCUCAAGGUUGACCUCGAAUCAAGUAGGAAUACCCGCUGAACGUGAGC
rnacentral:misc_RNA from 1 species